rnacentral:rRNA from 1 species
AGAGUUUGAUUCUGGCUCAGAACGAACGCUGGCGGCAGGCUUAACACAUGCAAGUCGAACGAUAUAGUGGCAGACGGGUGAGUAACGCGUGGAAACGUGCCUUUCACUACGGAAUAGCUCCGGGAAACUGGAAUUAAUACCGUAUACGCCCUCCGGGGGAAAGAUUUAUCGGUGAAAGAUCGGUCCGCGUUAGAUUAGAUAGUUGGUGGGGUAAUGGCCUACCAAGUCUACGAUCUAUAGCUGGUCUGAGAGGAUGAUCAGCCACACUGGGACUGAGACACGGCCCAGACUCCUACGGGAGGCAGCAGUGGGGAAUCUUGCACAAUGGGCGAAAGCCUGAUGCAGCCAUGCCGCGUGAAUGAUGAAGGCCUUAGGGUUGUAAAAUUCUUUCGCUAGGGACGAUAAUGACGGUACCUAGUAAAGAAGCCCCGGCUAACUUCGUGCCAGCAGCCGCGGUAAUACGAAGGGGGCUAGCGUUGUUCGGAAUUACUGGGCGUAAAGCGCGCGUAGGCUGACUAACAAGUUGGAUGUGAAAUCCCAGGGCUCAACUCUGGAACUGCAUUCAAAACUGUUAGUCUAGAGGCCAGGAGAGGUCAGUGGAAUACCGAGUGUAGAGGUGAAAUUCGUAGAUAUUCGGUGGAACACCAGUGGCGAAGGCGACUGACUGGACUGGUACUGACGCUGAGGUGCGAAAGUGUGGGGAGCAAACAGGAUUAGAUACCCUGGUAGUCCACACCGUAAACGAUGAAUGCUAGUUGUCUGCAUGCAUGCAUGUAGGUGACGCAGCUAACGCAUUAAGCAUUCCGCCUGGGGAGUACGGCCGCAAGGUUAAAACUCAAAGAAAUUGACGGGGGCCCGCACAAGCGGUGGAGCAUGUGGUUUAAUUCGAAGCAACGCGCAGAACCUUACCCACGUUUGACAUGCCCUGUUUGAUCGAUGGAGACAUCUUUCUUGGUUCGUCCGCAGGUGCACAGGUGCUGCAUGGCUGUCGUCAGCUCGUGUCGUG